rnacentral:rRNA from 1 species
UACGUAGGGUGCAAGCGUUGUCCGGAAUUAUUGGGCGUAAAGAGCUCGUAGGCGGUUUGUCGCGUCUGCUGUGAAGACUCGGGGCUUAACUCCGGGCCUGCAGUGGGUACGGGCAGACUAGAGUGCGGUAGGGGAGACUGGAAUUCCUGGUGUAGCGGUGAAAUGCGCAGAUAUCAGGAGGAACACCGGUGGCGAAGGCGGGUCUCUGGGCCGUAACUGACGCUGAGGAGCGAAAGCGUGGGGAGCGAACAGG